rnacentral:tRNA from 1 species
GCGGGUAUAGCUCAGUGGUAGAAUACAUGCUUAGUAUGCAUGAGGUCCUGUGGUCAGUUCCCAGUACCUCCA